rnacentral:rRNA from 1 species
UACAGGGGGGGGCAAGCGUUGUCCGGAAUUACUGGGCGUAAAGGGCCAGUAGGCGGCCAACUAAGUCACACGUGAAAUCCCCAGGCUUAACCUGGGAACUGCGUGUGAUACUGGAUGGCUUGAAUUCGGGAGAGGGAUGCAGAAUUCCAGGUGUAGCGGUGAAAUGCGUAGAUAUCUGGAGGAAUACCGGUGGCGAAGGCGGCAUCCUGGACCGACAUUGACGCUGAACGGCGAAAGCUAGGGGAGCAAACGGGG